UACGUAGGGAGCAAGCGUUGUCCGGAAUCAUUGGGCGUAAAGCGCGCGUAGGUGGCCAUGUAAGUCCGCUGUGAAAGUCAAAGGCUCAACCUUUGAAAGCCGGUGGAUACUGCAUGGCUAGAGUACGGAAGAGGCGAAGUGGAAUUCCUGGUGUAGCGGUGGAAUGCGCAGAUAUCAGGAGGAACACCGUAGGCGAAGGCGGCUC
rnacentral:rRNA from 1 species